rnacentral:rRNA from 2 species
GGAAACACCCGUUCCCAUCCCGAACACGGAAGUUAAGCCCUCCAGCGCCGAUGGUAGUUGGGGCCAGCGCCCCUGCAAGAGUAGGUCGCUGCUAGGC